rnacentral:tRNA from 1 species
GGACAGGUGGCUGAGCGGCUUAAGGCACUCGACUCGAAAUCGAGCGUGGGGGAAACCCCACCGUGGGUUCAAAUCCCACCCUGUCCG